rfam:Antarctobacter heliothermus strain SMS3 chromosome, complete genome.
AAUCAAGCGCGAGAAGGGCGUUUGGUGAAUGCCUUGGCAGCAAGAGGCGAUGAAGGACGUGAUACUCUGCGAUAAGUCAUGGGGAGCUGAGAAUAAGCUUUGAUCCAUGAAUUUCCGAAUGGGGCAACCCACUGGAUAUUCUAUUAUAAUUACCUCUGGUAUUUAUAAUGGGGUAAACCCAGUACUUCUUACCUGAAUACAUAGGGUUUGAAGAGCAAACCCGGGGAACUGAAACAUCUAAGUACCCGGAGGAAAGGAAAUCAAUUGAUACUCCCCUAGUAGCGGCGAGCGAACGGGGAUCAGCCGAGCCUUGAGAGUGACUAGAAUGUGCUGGGAAGCACAGCCAUAGCGGGUGAUAGCCCCGUAUAGGAAGCUCAAUGGGACGUAUUAAGUAGGGCGGAACACGUGAAAUUCUGUCUGAAGAUCGGAGGACCACCUUCGAAGGCUAAGUACUCCUUGCUGACCGAUAGUGAACCAGUACCGUGAGGGAAAGGUGAAAAGCACCCCGACGAGGGGAGUGAAACAGUUCCUGAAACCGAACGCCUACAAUCAGUCGGAGCUUGACUGGACUCUAAUGACAAUCUCAGCCAUGUCAGCGCUUUAUCGAAAGCGGUUAUUGAGCGGCAAUCGCCGUCAAGUCGCCGAUAAGAUAAGGCAAAAAACAUGGCGGAUGGAACCUUUGCAGUGCUACUGAUCGUGCUCGGUCUGACCGACAUGACACAGGAUCACUGCGGAACGACAGAUGGCUGCCUCGGGCAGUCGGAUGUCACACCACGGCUGGCCGUCUCGGCUGGUGAAGUGGUGAAACGGCGGGCCAAACCUGCUGCUGAAACCUACAUGCGCUACGAUCUGGGGCACCGCAACGGUCCCUUCGGCCAUGCGGUCGGGCUUUCAGUUGGCGAAAAGGGAGAGGCCUGGGUCGGCUACGGCGCGACCUACCGGAUUGAUCUGUGGCAGAGCGGCUUCUACGUCGAACUGCACACGAUGCCGGGGCUGUACUUCGAUAACGGCGGCUUUGAUCUAGGUGGAAUGCUUGCAUUCCGGUCAGGGAUCGAGCUGGGCUUUGAAACGUCCCGCGGCUGGCGCUUUGCGCUGAGCUAUGACCAUCGGUCAAACGCGGAGAUCUACGAGGCCAAUCCCGGUAUCGAAACGGUGCAAUACCGUGUCUCCAUCCCGAGCAGAUAAGGUUAUCAUUAGUGUCCAGUCUUGUGACGGCGUACCUUUUGUAUAAUGGGUCAUCGACUUGGUCUAUCUAGCAAGCUUAAGCCGAUAGGUGUAGGCGCAGCGAAAGCGAGUCUUAAUAGGGCGUCGAGUUAGAUGGAUCAGACCCGAAACCGAGUGAUCUAGGCAUGACCAGGAUGAAGGUAAGGUAACACUUACUGGAGGUCCGAACCCACACCUGUUGAAAAAGGUCGGGAUGAGUUGUGCCUAGGGGUGAAAGGCCAAUCAAACUCGGAGAUAGCUGGUUCUCCGCGAAAUCUAUUUAGGUAGAGCGUCAUCCGAAUACCCCCGGGGGUAGAGCACUGGAUGGGUAAUGGGGCCCCACAGGCUUACUGAUCCUAACCAAACUCCGAAUACCGGGGAGUACUAGAUGGCAGACACACUGCGGAUGCUAACGUCCGUAGUGGAGAGGGAAACAACCCUGACCUACAGCUAAGGCCCCCAAUUCAUGGCUAAGUGGGAAAGCAGGUGGGACGACCAAAACAACCAGGAGGUUGGCUUAGAAGCAGCCAUCCUUUAAAGAUAGCGUAACAGCUCACUGGUCUAAAUAAGUUGUCCUGCGGCGAAGAUGUAACGGGGCUCAAGCCAUGAGCCGAAGCUUAGGAUGCGUGAGCAUGGUAGCGGAGCGUAGUGUGAUAUAGCUUCAUGUCUCUUUAUCCCUUCGGGGAGACCGGAGACACGAAGCUUUCGAUGAAGCCGGCGCGUGAGCGAUCCGGUGGAGAGAUCACUAGUGAGAAUGAUGACAUGAGUAGCGACAAAGAGUGUGAGAGACACUCUCGCCGAAAGUCCAAGGGUUCCUGCUUAAAGCUAAUCUGAGCAGGGUAAGCCGACCCCUAAGGCGAGGCCGAAAGGCGUAGUCGAUGGGAACCAGGUUAAUAUUCCUGGGCCAGGAGGAUGUGACGGAUUGUGGCGGCGUGCGUGCCUUAUCGGAUUGGCGCGUAUCCAAGACAGUCCCUGGAAAUAGCCCUCCAUUAGAUCGUACCCUAAACCGACACAGGUGGACUGGUAGAGAAUACCAAGGCGCUUGAGAGAACGAUGUUGAAGGAACUCGGCAAAAUACCUCCGUAAGUUCGCGAGAAGGAGGCCCGGCGUAAGAGCGUCGGGGGCACAAACCAGGGGGUGGCGACUGUUUAUUAAAAACACAGGGCUCUGCGAAGUCGCAAGACGACGUAUAGGGUCUGACGCCUGCCCGGUGCCUGAAGGUUAAAAGGAGGGGUGCAAGCUCUGAAUUGAAGCCCAGGUAAACGGCGGCCGUAACUAUAACGGUCCUAAGGUAGCGAAAUUCCUUGUCGGGUAAGUUCCGACCUGCACGAAUGGCGUAACGACUUCCCCGCUGUCUCCAACAUCGACUCAGCGAAAUUGAAUUGCCUGUCAAGAUGCAGGCUACCCGCGGUUAGACGGAAAGACCCCGUGCACCUUCACUACAGCUUCGCACUGGCAUCAGACACAACAUGUGCAGGAUAGGUGGUAGGCUUCGAAGCAGGGACGCCAGUCUCUGUGGAGCCUCCCUUGAGAUACCACCCUUGUUUUGUUUGAUGUCUAACCGCGGUCCGUUAUCCGGAUCCGGGACCCUGCGUGGUGGGUAGUUUGACUGGGGCGGUCGCCUCCUAAAGCGUAACGGAGGCGCGCGAAGGUUGGCUCAGAGCGGUCGGAAAUCGCUCGUUGAGUGCAAUGGCAGAAGCCAGCCUGACUGCAAGACUGACAAGUCGAGCAGAGUCGAAAGACGGCCAUAGUGAUCCGGUGGUCCCAAGUGGGAGGGCCAUCGCUCAACGGAUAAAAGGUACGCCGGGGAUAACAGGCUGAUACUGCCCAAGAGUCCAUAUCGACGGCAGUGUUUGGCACCUCGAUGUCGGCUCAUCUCAUCCUGGGGCUGGAGCAGGUCCCAAGGGUAUGGCUGUUCGCCAUUUAAAGAGGUACGUGAGCUGGGUUUAGAACGUCGUGAGACAGUUCGGUCCCUAUCUGCCGUGGGUGUAGGAGAUUUGAGAAGAGUUGCCCCUAGUACGAGAGGACCGGGGUGAACGAUCCACUGGUGGACCAGUUGUUAUGCCAAUAGCAGUGCUGGGUAGCUAUGAUCGGAAAGGAUAACCGCUGAAGGCAUCUAAGCGGGAAGCCCCCUUCAAAACAAGAUCUCCCUGAGGACCGUGGAAGACCACCACGUCGAUAGGCCAGAGGUGUAAGCACAGCAAUGUGUUCAGCUGACUGGUACUAAUGGUCCGAUAGGCUUGAUUUG